UUCAGCUCGAGAAUUUUAAGCAGCAAUCUGCAAAUGAAUUAAAAAGCAUAUAUUAACGAAUGCAGACAACCGUCUUGGAGGCAUCCUGCUUUAUUGGAAGAGUCUGCAAGCAGCUCGGAGUAUAGCAUGGGAUCAACUUUACUAGCCCAAGGGAUUGGUGAUAAUGGAGAAAAGAGUGAAGCCGAGCUAUGUGCAUUGCAUCAGGAUAUUGAAUCGGGAUUAAAAUCAACCCACAUUGAUGAUGAAUUUGCAAAAGGAAUUUCUGGCAAUAAUGCCUUGACUUCUCAAGGAUAGACAAUUCCUACUAAAAACGCUUGGAAUGGAAUCUACGUCUCCGAAUCCUUCUCAUCCUCCAUCUGCAAGAGGGCCCUCCUCCAUAGUU